AACGAACGCUGGCGGCAGGCCUAACACAUGCAAGUCGAACGCCCUAGCAAUAGGGAGUGGCGCACGGGUGCGUAACGCGUGGGAAUAUGCCCUUGACUACGGAACAACAUCGGGAAACUGAUGCUAAUACCGUAUAAUGUCUUCGGACCAAAGAUUUAUCGGUCAAGGAUUAGCCCGCGUCUGAUUAGCUAGUUGGUGAG
rnacentral:rRNA from 1 species